GACAACUAUCUUCAGUUAUAUGAAUGAAUAAAAAUCAGUACAAUGAUAUUGGAAUAGACAUUCUCUUGCUCAAGAUAUGAUUUCAUGAAAAUUUUAAGUAUUUAGAAAUAUAUGGGAUAAAAAGAUAUGUGACAUUAAACAUUUUAAAGUCAAAAUAUGAAUUUGUUAUUAACUAAGCAUUUUAUUUCAAAACCAUUUUUUUUUUUAUUAUCUCUAUAAUAUUAUUUAUUUUGUGCUUUUUACAUUUAUACUAUUAAAAUGAGAUUAAAACGCCACCAAAAAACGUAAUAUUAAUUUCAAUUGUGUUAACUUUAGCUUUAGAAAACCUUUUUAAAUACUAGUUGAUGAUACUUUCUGUAUGGUUUCAUCACGUGUGAAUUACAUUUUAUUAAAAUGGUUUAAUUACAAGAAGAUGUACCCAAAUAUUUGAAUGGUGAGGUAAAACUAUUAACUACGCAAUGUGUUAUAAUUGAAACAGAAGCUCUAGACAGAUUGCUCAAGUGAAACAUUCACGUAAAAAAAAAUUUUUUUGUUAAAAUCAUUUUUUAAUUAAAUUAAAUUAUAUUAAUUAGCCUAUGGAAUAAUAUUUUCUUUUUGUUCCAAAACCCAUAAAAGUAUGAAACUUAUGUCAAUCAACAUUGAAUUUCAAGAAUUUUAAAGUGGGUAAACAAACAUUUGUUCAAAUAUCAAAUUAUGCAUUCACUAGUUUUAAAAUCAAAAAAAUGUCAUCAAUAAAUGUAAUAAAUUCUAAACAUGUUAACUAGAUAUGUAAUCAAAUAUAUUAAAAAAGGAUGCAGAUAUACAACAAAAAU